rnacentral:rRNA from 1 species
GAUGAACGCUGGCGGCGUGCCUAAUACAUGCAAGUCGAGCGAAUGGAUUGAGAGCUUGCUCUUAUGAAGUUAGCGGCGGACGGGUAAGUAACACGUGAGUAACCUGCCCAUAAGACUGGGAUAACUCCGGGAAACCGGGGCUAAUACCGGAUAACAUUUUGAACCGCAUGGUUCGAAAUUGAAAGGCGGCUUCGGCUGUCACUUAUGGAUGGACCCGCGUCGCAUUAGCUAGUUGGUGAGGUAACGGCUCACCAAGGCAACGAUGCGUAGCCGACCUGAGAGGGUGAUCGGCCACACUGGGACUGAGACACGGCCCAGACUCCUACGGGAGGCAGCAGUAGGGAAUCUUCCGCAAUGGACGAAAGUCUGACGGAGCAACGCCGCGUGAGUGAUGAAGGCUUUCGGGUCGUAAAACUCUGUUGUUAGGGAAGAACAAGUGCUAGUUGAAUAAGCUGGCACCUUGACGGUACCUAACCAGAAAGCCACGGCUAACUACGUGCCAGCAGCCGCCGUAA